GUCCAGACUCCUACGGGAGGCAGCAGUGGGGAAUAUUGCACAAUGGGGGAAACCCUGAUGCAGCAACGCCGCGUGAGUGAAGAAGUAUUUCGGUAUGUAAAGCUCUAUCAGCAGGGAAGAAGAUGACGGUACCUGAUUAAGAAGCCCCGGCUAACUACGUGCCAGCAGCCGCGGUAAUACGUAGGGGGCAAGCGUUAUCCGGAUUUACUGGGUGUAAAGGGAGCGUAGACGGUGAUGCAAGUCAGAAGUGAAAGCCCGGGGCUCAACUCCGGGACUGCUUUUGAAACUGUGUAACUGGAGUGCAGGAGAGGUAAGCGGAAUUCCUGGUGUAGCGGCGAAAUGCGUAGAUAUCAGGAGGAACAUCAGUGGCGAAGGCGGCUUACUGGACUGUAACUGACGUUGAGGCUCGAAAGCGUGGGGAGCAAACAGGAUUAGAUACCCCCGUACA
rnacentral:rRNA from 1 species